CUCCAGUUUAUAGCCUCACGCACUAAAUUCUCUAUCUGAGUAAGCAUCGGAGGGGCGACGAUCACACACGUCGUUGCCUUUGUUGCAGGUAUUCAAAGACCGUUCAUGUUCAUCAAAGUUCGAAGUUCGAUCAUCAAGUUCGAGAUCUUUCAGGUAAUAUUUUUUGGUAGCAUCACUUAUAUUUAAAAUAUGUUGGAGUUUAAUUUUGUAAUUAGUUUGUGCAGAAUCUAAAAUUUGUGAAUUGUUUUGUUUUGUGAGGUGAUUUCAAGGUGCGUCUUUAAGCAUGUGGAGUCUUUCUAUUUCUCGUCUAGGAUUUUGGGAGUGUGAGGAGCUCAUGGUAUUCUUAACUUCAUUUAUCGCUGCUCAAAUUAUGUAAAAAUAUUCAAUUUACCUGUACAAUGUUCAAAAGUUAAGGGACGUUUUCAUUUUUGGUUUUCCCCUCUCUCAUAAAUGUUCUUUACAACUGAAAUUUUGUGAGGAGCGUGUUCAAUAAAAAGUACUGGUUGAAGAUUUGGGUUUUUCCUUAUUUUGAUGCACUAUUUUUUCUUACUGCUUUAAACAGUCUAUCAUUCAUGUUUGGCUUUUUAAUUGGAAUAUUUGCU
rnacentral:lncRNA from 1 species